rnacentral:rRNA from 1 species
GUGGGGAAUCUUCCGCAAUGGACGAAAGUCUGACGGAGCGACGCCGCGUGAGUGAAGAAGGCCUUCGGGUCGUAAAGCUCUGUCAUCAGGGACGAACGGCCGGUGGAGUGGAAAGCCACCGGAUUGACGGUACCUGAGAAGGAAGCCACGGCUAACUACGUGCCAGCAGCCGCGGUAAUACGUAGGUGGCAAGCGUUGUCCGGAAUUAUUGGGCGUAAAGCGCGCGCAGGUGGGAUCUUACGUCCAUUUUUAAAGUUCGGAGCUCAACUCCGUGAUGGGAUGGAAACUGGGAUUCUUGAGUACCGGAGAGGAAAGCGGAAUUCACCGUGUAGCGGUGAAAUGCGUAGAUAUGGGGAGGAACACCAGUGGCGAAGGCGGCUUUCUGGACGGUGUCUGACACUGAGGCGCGAAAGCCAGGGGAGCGAACGGGAUUAGAAACCCUGGUAGUCC